rnacentral:rRNA from 1 species
AAUCUAGUGAUUUAUUUACUAACUUCCAGCUUCUAACCUCUAAUAUCUAAAUCGUUAGUGGCGGACGGUGAGUAACACGUUGGAACCUGCCCCAAAGUAAGGGAUAAGCCACCGAAAGGUGGUCUAAUACCUUAUAGUAUCCAUCUCGUAUGGAUUAAAGCUUUAUGCGCUUUGGGAGGGGCCUGCGUUUGAUUAGCUAGUUGGUGAGGUAAAAGCUCACCAAGGCGACGAUCAAUAGCUGGUUUGAGAGGAUGACCAGCCACACUGGGACUGAGAUACGGCCCAGACUCCUACGGGAGGCAGCAGUAAGGAAUCUUCCACAAUGGGGCAACCCUGAUGGAGCAAUACCGCGUGCAGGAUGAAGCGUUUCGGCGUGUAAACUGCUUUUAUCACCGAAGAUUAUGACUGUAGGUGAAGAAUAAGGACCGGCUAACUACGUG